GACGAACGCUGGCGGCGUGCUUAACACAUGCAAGUCGAACGGAAAGGCCCUGCUUUUGUGGGGUGCUCGAGUGGCGAACGGGUGAGUAACACGUGAGUAACCUGCCCUUGACUUUGGGAUAACUUCAGGAAACUGGGGCUAAUACCGGAUAGGAGCUCCUGCUGCAUGGUGGGGGUUGGAAAGUUUCGGCGGUUGGGGAUGGACUCGCGGCUUAUCAGCUUGUUGGUGGGGUAGUGGCUUACCAAGGCUUUGACGGGUAGCCGGCCUGAGAGGGUGACCGGCCACAUUGGGACUGAGAUACGGCCCAGACUCCUACGGGAGGCAGCAGUGGGGAAUAUUGCACAAUGGGCGGAGGCCUGAUGCAGCAACGCCGCGUGCGGGAUGACGGCCUUCGGGUGGUAAACCGCUUUCGCCUGUGACGAAGCGUGAGUGACGGUAAUGGGGAAAGAAGCACCGGCUAACUACGU
rnacentral:rRNA from 1 species